AUCGAUCGGCCAUAAGGCCGACUAGGAACGAUCCUUCCUUUGUUCGCUGUGUAGUUGGGGGGGGACAAUUUUCUGGGGAGUUGCUCCCGGAAAAACGUCCAGGAAAUCGGGAAAAGUGGGGAUUCAAUACUGAGAGUGUUUGAAAAGUGUUCUCUAGACCUUGAGCUUCGUUUUGAUGUAAUUUUUAUGUGUGUGCACCUGUUUUUUCGAGGGUAAAUCCCGAGACAUAACCUCACACGAGGCCCCUCUGGAAGUUCCGAGUCCAGAGGUCAAACAGGGACAGAAGAUAUCAUAUAAGAAAAGGACAAAGAGAUAAUUAAAAGAGAAGGAAUCUCAAGGCACACGUGAUUCCUCUCGAGUCGUCCCUUUAAGCAGGAUUGAAAACAAACGAAGACUGGAAAUGCCCCUCGGAGGCCAGAGAAGGAGCACAUUAGACCACUGACUGACUAUAGAGACACCAUGGUAACAGCUUCAGCUGUUUUCCUCAAGGAUACUGUAGUAGACCGAGGGGAGGGAGGUUUCUUUUGUUUUUUUUUUUUUUUGAAGAAAUCCAGAAGCCUGUGGUGACGACGUUCAUUUGUUUCUCGAAGAAGCCAAGGGAGAGGGGGCAGCAGAGGAGCAGAUGAUCUUUGAUGCAUUUUUCUUUUGUUUGUUUUCCCUCACAAAAAAUGUAUUUUUAUUUAUAUUUUUUUUAUUAUUAUGUAUUUUUCUUUUGAUUAAUUGAUAAUAAAGUCUGCGGCAGU